rnacentral:tmRNA from 1 species
GGGGAUGUUCUGGUUUUGACAGCAUCGAUGUCGGAUGGUAAGCACGCCGGGCGUCGCGAGUUUGCCCGUUAACCUCAGCUCCCGAGCCAUUAAUUGGCAACUACAACUAUUCAUACGCUUGCUAGUCUCAGAGAGACUGAGCAUCAAUCAGAGCCGCCAAGGCUGUGGCACUGACGUAUAUCCCUCCUGCUUUAUGCCGGCUAUGCCAGGAUCCAGGGGUAUCAUCCAAGCCGGACGCACGGGGCCCACUCCCCUAAGCCCCGCCAAGACAAAGGAGAUAAGUUGCCGCAAAGGGCGUCUUUCCUCAUACGGCCGCCGACAAACAAAGAAAGAAUAAGCGUGUAGAAAGCCCUCUGGUGCGUUGUUUGGACGCGGGUUCGACUCCCGCCAUCUCCACA